UACGCAGGGUGCGAGCGUUAAUCGGAAUUACUGGGCGUAAAGCGUGCGCAGGCGGUUCGUUGUGUCGGCGGUGAAAGCCCCGGGCUCAACCUGGGAAUGGCCGUUGAAACUGGCGAACUGGAGUGUGGCAGAGGGGGGUGGAAUUCCGCGUGUAGCAGUGAAAUGCGUAGAGAUGCGGAGGAACACCGAUGGCGAAGGCAGCCCCCUGGGCUGACACUGACGCUCAGGCACGAAAGCGUGGGGAGCAAACAGG
rnacentral:rRNA from 1 species